CCCACAGAAGGGCGUAUUCAGAUUCCUAAAGAAGGCUUUGAAAAGGAUCCAAAGAGGCAAUCACAUGCAUGUGCAACUAUUUUUUCACUAGGCAAGAAUAUAUGGAAUGUGAAUGGAGUUUCAGCAAAGCUCUGUGAAUCAUCACCGUACCCCACGGGUGACAUUUCCUUUGAUCCUUAAAAUGCAAUAUUUCAGAUGUUAUACCAAACCUCAGAAGAGUAACUUGCUAAGGAAAAUAUCGCUGUGUUUUCCUGAAGGAACUGAAGCUACAUCAGGUUGAAUUUCACCCUUGCUCAAGAUCCCCCACAUUUGCCAUGGUGAUCUCAAACUGCAAUAAGUAAAGAAAGGAUCAAUGUGUGGCAGCUGAACUUCUGAGACAAUGUCUCUCCACAAUGGGUCUGAGUGGGGAACUUCUUCUUUAUGCUCUGAAUUCUCUGGGGACAUCAGAAGAGAGAAAAAAAAAUAAAAUAUAACUAUUAGAAAACUGGAGA